rnacentral:rRNA from 1 species
GGACGAACGCUGGCGGCGUGCUUAACACAUGCAAGUCGAGCGGGAUCCAACCGGUGGCAACACCGGGGAAGAUCUAGCGGCGAACGGGUGAGUAACACGUGAGCAACCUGCCCCGAAGACUGGGAUAACACCGGGAAACCGGUGCUAAUACCGGAUGUCGUCAUUAGGCCGCAUGACCUGAUGAUGAAAGGAUUCAUCGCUUCGGGAGGGGCUCGCGGGCUAUCAGCNGUUGGUGGGUAACGGCCUACCAAGGCGACGACGGCUAGCUGGUCUGAGAGGACGACCAGCCACACUGGGACUGAGACACGGCCCAGACUCCUACGGGAGGCAGCAGUGGGGAAUCUUGCGCAAUGGGCGAAAGCCUGACGCAGCAACGCCGCGUGGGGGAU